rnacentral:rRNA from 1 species
AGAGUUUGAUCCUGGCUCAGGACGAACGCUGGCGGCGCGCUUAAUACAUGCAAGUCGAGCGAGAACCAUGGCUUCGGCCAUGGGGACAGCGGCGAACGGGUGAGUAACACGUGGGUAAUCAACCCCCGACACCGGGAUAGCCCAGGGAAACUUGGAUUAAUACCGGAUGCUCCAUCCGGCUCUCGAGCCGGCUGGAAAAGGGUAGCUUCGGCCUCCGGUCGGGGACGAGCCCGCGGCGGAUUAGCUUGUUGGUGAGGUAAGAGCUCACCAAGGCGACGAUCCGUAGCUGGUCUGAGAGGACGAUCAGCCACACUGGGACUGAGACACGGCCCAGACUCCUACGGGAGGCAGCAGUAGGGAAUCUUGCGCAAUGGGCGAAAGCCUGACGCAGCGACGCCGCGUGAGGGAAGAAGGCCUUCGGGUUGUAAACCUCUUUCAGGAGGGACGAAGCCACUCGGGUUAAUAGCCCAGAGGGUGACGGUACCUCCAGAAGAAGCCCCGGCUAACUACGUGCCAGCAGCCGCGGUAAUACGUAGGGGGCAAGCGUUGUCCGGAUUUAUUGGGCGUAAAGAGCGUGUAGGCGGCCUUACAGGUCAGCUGUGAAAACUCGAGGCUCAACCUCGAGACGUCGGUUGAAACCGUAUGGCUAGAGUCCGGAAGAGGAGAGUGGAAUUCCCGGUGUAGCGGUGAAAUGCGCAGAUAUCGGGAAGAACACCCGUGGCGAAGGCGGCUCUCUGGGACGGUACUGACGCUGAGACGCGAAAGCGUGGGGAGCGAACAGGAUUAGAUACCCUAGUAGUCC